rnacentral:rRNA from 1 species
UCGGGAAUAUUGCGCAAUGGAGGAAACUCUGACGCAGUGACGCCGCGUGCAGGAAGAAGGUUUUCGGAUUGUAAACUGCUUUAGACAGGGAAGAGAAAGGACAGUACCUGUAGAAUAAGCUCCGGCUAACUACGUGCCAGCAGCCGCGGUAAUACGUAGGGGCGAGCGUUAUCCGGAUUCAUUGGGCGUAAAGCGCUCGUAGGCUGCCCGCUAGGUCCGGGGUCAAAUCCGGGGGCUCAACCCCCGCACGCCCCGGAUACCGGCGGGCUUGAGUCGGGUAGGGGAAGGCGGAAUUCCAGGUGUAGCGGUGGAAUGCGCAGAUAUCUGGAAGAACACCGGUGGCGAAGGCGGCCUUCUGGGCCUCGACUGACGCUGAGGAGCGAAAGCUGGGGGAGCGAACAGGAUUAGAUACCCUGGUAGU